ensembl:snoRNA small nucleolar RNA SNORA17
CCUGCCCAUAGAGGCAUUGCAGGUGUGGCUGCUGUGUCACAUGCCCAUCAGUAGGUGGCAGAGAGGAGAGAGUCUAUGUCUGCACUCAGUGUUCUGACCUGGGAACAUCUGGAUCAUUGGUAGCCUAACAUU